rnacentral:rRNA from 1 species
GACGAACGCUGGCGGCGUGCUUAACACAUGCCAGUCGAACGGAAAGGCCUGCUUUCCCUUGUGGAUUGCGGGUACGCGAGUGGCGAACGGGUGAGUAACACGUGAGUCAUCUGCCCCCAACUUGGGUAUAAGCCUGGGAAACUGGGCCUAAUUCCCGAUAGGACUGCAGGGUGGUGCCGGGGGUGGAAGACGAUCUUCUAGUGGUUGGGGGUGAGCUCGCGGCUUAUCAGCUUGUUGGUGGGGUAAUGGCCUACCAAGGCGGCGACGGGUAGCCGGCCUGGGAGGGUGGACGGCCACAUUGGGACUGGGAUACGGCCCAGACUCCUACGGGAGGCAGCAGUGGGGAAUAUUGCACAAUGGGCGGGAGCCUGAUGCAGCGACGCCGCGUGGGGGAUGACGGCCUUCGGGUUGUAAGCUCCUUUCGACCGCGAGGAAGCCACCUGGUUGGAAGGGUGGUGACGGUAGUGGUAGAAGAAGCACCGGCUAACUACGUG